rnacentral:rRNA from 1 species
GACGAACGCUGGCGGCGUGCUUAACACAUGCAAGUCGAACGGGUCUGCCCUGUUUUUUGCGGGGUGGGUCAGUGGCGAACGGGUGAGUAACACGUGAGUAACCUGCCCCUCACUUCUGGAUAACCGCUUGAAAGGGUGGCUAAUACGGGGUGUUCUGGCUGUGCCGCAUGGUGUGGCUGGGAAAGAUUCACUUUUGUGGUGUUUUGGUGGGUGAUGGGCUCGCGGCCUAUCAGCUUGUUGGUGGGGUGAUGGCCUGCCAAGGCUUUGACGGGUAGCCGGCCUGAGAGGGUGGGCGGUCACACUGGGACUGAGAUACGGCCCAGACUCCUGCGGGAGGCAGCAGUGGGGGGUAUUGCACAAUGGGCGGAAGCCUGAUGCAGCGACGUCGCGUGAGGGAUGGAGGCCUUCGGGUUGUGAACCUCUUUCGCCGGUGAAGAAGGUCCUGCUCUUUGUGGUGGGGUUGACGGUGGCCGGGUUAUGAAGCGCCGGCUAACUACGUG